AGAGUUUGAUCCUGGCUCAGGACGAACGCUGGCGGCGUGCCUAACACAUGCAAGUCGAACGGAGAUAUAUCGAAGAGUAAUCAGAGAUAUAUUUUAGUGGCGGACGGGUGAGUAACGCGUGGGCAACCUGCCUUUCACAGGGGGAUAACACAGGGAAACUUGUGCUAAAACCGCAUAACAUUACAGCAAGGCAUCUUGCAGUAAUCAAAGGAGCAAUCCGGUGAAAGAUGGGCCCGCGUCCAAUUAGCUGGUUGGUGAGGUAAUGGCCCACCAAGGCGACGAUUGGUAGCCGAACUGAGAGGUUGAACGGCCACAUUGGGACUGAGAUACGGCCCAGACUCCUACGGGAGGCAGCAGCUAAGGAUCUUCCGCAAUGGGCGAAAGCCUGACGGAGCGACGCCGCGUGGACGAUGGAGGCCGUGAGGUUGUAAAGUCCUUUUCCGUGGGGUGAAGAGCCGUGCCAGGGAAUGGGUGCGGGGUGACGUGACCACGGGAAUAAGCCCCGGCUAACUACGUGCCAGCAGCCGCGGUAACACGUAGGGGGCGAGCGUUGUUCGGAAUCAUUGGGCGUAAAGGGCGCGCAGGCGGCUGCGGGAGCCCGGCGUGAAAUCCACAGGCCCAACCUGUGGGGGUCGCCGGGGACUCCGCGGCUGGAGUCCAGGAAGCGGUUCAGGAAUUCCCGGUGUAGGGGUGAAAUCUGUAGAUAUCGGGAAGAACACCAAUGGCGAAGGCGUGGGCCGGGCCAUGGACUGACGCUGAGGCGCGAAGGUGCGGGGAGCGAACAGGUUUAGAUACCCUGGUAGUCCGCACAGUAAACGAUGUGCACCAGGUGGCGGGGGGCUGACCCCCGGUACCGGAGCGAACGCAGUAAGUGCACCGCCUGGGGAGUAUGCCCGCAAGGGUGAAACUCAAAGGAAUUGACGGGGGCCCGCACAAGCGGUGGAGCAUGUGGUUUAAUUCGAUGAUACGCGAGGAACCUUACCAGGGCUUGACAUGCGCCGGGAGGGGGCUGCGAGGCCUCCGCCCUUCGGGGCCGGCGCACAGGUGCUGCAUGGCUGUCGUCAGCUCGUGCUGUGAAGUGUUGGGUUAAGUCCCGCAACGAGCGCAACCCUUGCUAUUAGUUGCUAACAGAAGAUGAGCACUCUAAUGGGACUGCCGGUGACAAGCCGGAGGAAGGUGGGGAUGACGUCAAAUCAUCAUGCCCUUUAUGACCUGGGCAACACACGUGCUACAAUGGGCGGUACAGAGAGCAGCAAGACCGCGAGGUGGAGCGAAUCUCAAAAAGCCGUUCACAGUUCGGAUUGUAGUCUGCAACUCGACUACAUGAAGUCGGAAUCGCUAGUAAUCGCGAAUCAGCAUGUCGCGGUGAAUGCGUUCCCGGGCCUUGUACACACCGCCCGUCACACCACGAAAGUCGGCAACACCCGAAGCCGGCGAGCUAACUAGCAAUAGAGGCAGCCGUCGAAGGUGGGGUUGGUAAUUGGGGUGAAGUCGUAACAAGGUAACC
rnacentral:rRNA from 1 species